ACAUCAGGAAGGUCAUAACGGGUCUAACAUGUCUCCUGAGUCCUAAUUUUCAGCAAGGAUUUUACUUCCUGGGAUGCUUGUAUAAGCAUAAUUCUUUGAGGUUUAAGACCAAGAAAUAAGAUGCAGCAUUGCCAUUUUUUAAUGGAAUAUUCUCUCACUGCAGUAAGACAUCCUUUAUUGCCUUGCUAAAAUUCUUAGUGUGGAACUUCCAGUACAACAUGGGAAUUCAUAAAGCCGAAAAAAUGUGGUUGUACAACGACUCUCAUGGAGUGCCGAGAUGCUCCAGCCUCAUACCUGGCAGUGAACAAACCUGUAAUAAAGGCCUGAAGAUCUUUUGCCUGCUCUCAAAUUAUGUGAAGUGAAUAGCUCCAACAGCUGGAAGAGGAACAAUGCAUAGUAGGCAAUAAAUGUGAUUGUGGCCUGUUUGAAUUUGAGCUCAUUCUUGUGGAUAACCAAGGCAGUGGAGACAUGGUGACACAUUUCAACAUACACUAGUACCCAAAGUAUAAAUAUCCUUUCAGCCUCAGGUGCUGGAAGGAGCUAAGCACAUGUGACUGUGACUUUAUUGUGGCUAGAUGUAGAUAGCACAGUUUUAGCACAUAUGAUGGUUGUAUCUUCAUUUUUGCCAUGUAAACACAUAGAAUCAUAUAUGGGACCGCACAAUAAACUGGCAGGACUCUGCAUGCCAGCUGUCUAAUGCCUGUCAAUAUUUUGUCAGCUUUGGUGCAGACACAAUUUAAGGAGGGAAGCGAGAGAGGAUGAGAAGAGUGAUGACUUGAU
rnacentral:lncRNA from 1 species